rfam:Triticum aestivum genome assembly, contig: Triticum_aestivum_CS42_TGACv1_scaffold_030420_1BL
CAAAUACUCCCUCCGUCCAGAAAUACUUGUCGCAUAAAUGGAUGAAAAUGGAUGUAUCUAGAGUUAAAAUACAUCUAGAUAGAUUCAUUUCAAUGACAAGUAUUUCCGGACGGAGGGAGUAGAAU